rnacentral:rRNA from 1 species
AGAAUUGACUAGUGAUUCAGGCGUAACACAUGCAAGUCGAGCGGUAGAGAGAAGCUUGCUUCUCUAGAAAACGGCGGACGGGUGAGUAAUGCCUAGGAAUCUGCCUGGUAGUGGGGGAUAACGUUGGGAAACGGAGGCUAAGACCGCAUACGUCCUACGGGAGAAAGCAGGGGACCUUCGGGCCUUGCGCUAUCAGAUGAGCCUAGGUCGGAUUAGCUAGUUGGUGAGGUAAUGGCUCACCAAGGCUACGAUCCGUAACUGGUCUGAGGGGAUGAGCAGUCACACUGGAACGGAGGCACGGUCCAGGCUCCUACGGGAGGGAGCAGUGGGGAAUAUUGGACAAUGGGCGAAAGCCUG